GGAGCGUCCGGGUAGUUUACAGUUUUCACGGAUGGUCACCUCCAUAUUGUUUGUGCCGUGAGUUAGGCUAUAAAAGCCCAAACCGGGCGCCCUCUGCAUCAGUCCGUACGCCACCGACGCACCAACUAGAGGCACAUCCCAGAGGAGACGCCUCGCGGUCGCUUACGGGUUUGCCCGUCAGGCGGCCGCCCCGCUAGCUUGCAAUGCUGUGCUGCGGAGAUGAUGCAGCUGGCAGUUGCGCCCACGCCGCGCGCCGGUCGCGCCUCGCGAGCAGCCACGCCUUGUGGUCGCAAGGCAGCAGCGCCUCGUGUCACCGCGAAAACCAACCACGCGGGCGUGGACAGAGUUGAUGAUUUGGAAGAGUCCUCCGUCCGCUAUUUGCUGCGCUGAGCCGCACGUCCACGCGCCUCGGUAAACGCAGGGUGCAAUAUUUUUUGGUUAUUUUUUCAAGAAGUAAUAUGUUUUUAGUUUUUUUUCAUUCAGAUUCGGAACUAAGUGCUGUUUUUAUUGUUUAUUUGUUUUCAAGGAGAAAUGUUUUUUGUUUUUUUCAUUCGAAUCUGGCACUUACUGAUAUAACACAUAACCAUACAUAAUAUCUUUAAUUUCUUUAUUAUAUUAACAGUUCCUCUCUGUAAAAUGCCGUAUACCGUGCACGGCAUUUUACAGACCACGACAUACUCGUAUGAGGCUAUGAGAGACAAAGUGCUAAGUCACCACCACGGUAAUAUUAUUACCGUGUCACCACUUUGGCUCUCGUGCCCCCAUGUGAGAUAAGCAAUUUGUAUGAGUAGUAACAUUAUAAGACAUUGACAACAUUGAGGAAUCUAAAGUAGGUAUAAAUGGCGUCUGAUAUCAGAAUAUUAUCAGUCAUAGAACAUCUCGUAGGUUUAAGACAAAUCAUAUUGCAGCAGCGACGAUGUACAUAUUUUGUAAAACGUGUUUCCAUUCCAUUAGACUGUAAGUUUUUUUUUCUGAAUAAAACUGUUAGCUAUAAGUAAUUUGUAUGAGUGGUAACAUUAUGGGUAGUAGCUUUAAAAUAGCGUACGUAUCAGAACAUACAGACGAUUCGGAAUUAGGUGCUAUUUUUUUUUGUUCAUUUGUUUUCAAGGAGAAAUGUUUUUAGUUUUUUCAUUCCAUUAGACUGUAAGUUUUCUGAAUAAAACUGUUAGCUAUAAGUAAUUUGUAUGAGUAGUAACAUUAUGGGUAGUAGCUUUAAAAUACCACGUAGGUGUAAAUGGCGUCUGGUAUCAGAACAUAAACGAUUCGGAACUAGGUGCUAUUUUUUUUGUUUAUUUGUUUUCAAGAAGAAAUGUUUUUAGUUUUUUUUUUCGAGUCUGGCACUUACUGACAUAACAUACAACAUAAAACAUAACCAUACAUAAUAUCUUUAAUUUCUUUAUUAUAUUAACAGGUCCUCUCUGUAAAAUGCCGUAUACCGUGCUCGGCAUUUUACAGAUCACGACAUACUCGUAUGAGGCUACGAGAGACAAAGUGCUAAGCCACCACUUUGGCUCUCGUGCCCCCAUGUGAAAUAAGCAAUUUAUAUGAGUAACAUUUUUAAGAUAAAUCAUAUUACAGUAAGGUAUAUUUUGAAAAAAAUGAAAAAUCUUUGAAAAAUCAAAGUUUUACAAUUUUGUAAAACAUGUUGCAAAUUAUGCUUUUGUCUGUUCCCUAACUUCAAUUGAAAAAUCACUUUAAAACUGUGUUUGCUAAUCAAGCCUGUAUUUCCUGAUUAAACUUUUGCUGAUUAAAUAUA